CACCUGGUUGAUCCUGCCAGGUGGUAUAUGCUUGUCUCAAGGACUAAGCCAUGCAAGGCCAAGCCAAGGCGGUGCCAAACAACAAAACUCAGAAUGGCUCCGUAAAACAGCUAUAGUUUCUUCGAUGGUAUACUACUUGGAUAACCGUAGUAAUUCUAGAGCUAAUAUAUGCCACUAAGAGACGCAAGUUGUUGUAUAAAUUGGAGAUACAGACCAUCUACAUGGUGAUUCAAAAUUUAGCCUGUAAUUGCGCCGAAAGGGAGGUCCAGCGACCAAAUUUCUGGCCCAUCAACUUUGGAUGGUAAGGUAUUGGCUUACCAUGGUUUUGACGGGUAACGGACCGUGGGUGCGGGAUUCCGGAGAGGGAGCCUGAGAAACGGCUACCACAUCCAAGGAAGGCAGCAGGCGCGCAAAUUACCCAAUCCUGACACCGGGAGGUAGUGACAAGAAAUAUCAAUAGAGGGCCCGAUGGGUUUUCUAAUUGGAAUGAGAACAAGCUAAACAGCUUAUCGAGGAUCCAGCAGAGGGCAAGUCUGGUGCCAGCAGCCGCGGUAAUUCCAGGUCUGUAAGCGUAUACCAAAGUUGUUACAGUUAAAACGCUCGUAGUCGCAACUUGGCGGAUGAAUUGCUUAAUCCUCAUGGAAAUUAGUGGGUCAGACGCCUUGGUGGAGGGCGUUUUAGAGGUCCUUUACUGGAUGAUUGAGUUGCCGCCACCAUUUACUGUGAAAAAAAUAGAGUGUUCAAAACAGGCGUUGGCCGUGAAUACAUUAGCAUGGAAUAAUAGAAUAGUACCUGGUUUCUAUUUUGUUGGUGUGUUAGGAUGAGGUAAUGAUUAAGAGGGAUGGUUGGGGGCAUUUGUAUUCCAGCGUUAGAGGUGAAAUUUUUGGAUUGGUGGAAGACAAACAGCUGCGAAAGCGUCUGCCAAGGACAUUUUCAUUGAUCAAGAACGAAAGUAAGGGGAUCGAAGACGAUCAGAUACCGUCGUAGUCUUUACUAUAAACUAUGAGGACUGGAGAUCGGAUGGAAAUAUUAUAUGGUCCGUCCGGCAUCCUUCGGGAAACCAAAGUGUUUGCUUUCUGGGGGGAGUAUGGUCGCAAGGCUGAAACUUAAAGGAAUUGACGGGAGGGCAUCACCGGGUGUGGAGCCUGCGGCUUAAUUUGACUCAACACGGGGAAACUUACCAGGUCAGGACAUAUUAAGGAUUGACAGAUUGAGAGCUCUUUCUUGAUUCUAUGGUUGGUGGUGCAUGGCCGUUCUUAGUUGGUGGAGUGAUCUGUCUGGUUAAUUCCGUUAACGAGCGAGACCUGGGCGUGUUAGCUAGGCACCAUUACCCUUUUUGGUAGUGUAGUUUGCCUUCCUAAACGGACUGCGGACGUCUAGUCCGCGGAAGCUCCAGGCAAUAACAGGUCUGAGAUGCCCUUAGAUGUUCUGGGCCGCACGCGUGCUACACUGAGCGGGUCAACGGGUGAGGUUGUGCGAAAGCAUUUCCUAAUCUCUAAAUCCGCUCGUGAUGGGGAUAGAGGCUUGCAAUUCUCCCUCUUGAACGAGGAAUACCUUGUAAGCAUGGGUCAUCAUCCCGUGCUGAAUACGUCCCUGCCCUUUGUACACACCGCCCGUCGCUCCUACCGAUUGAGUGGUCCGGUGAGGCCUUGGGAGGGCUAAGUGGACUGUGUUUCACAGACUGCCGAGCCCAAAGCUUG
rnacentral:rRNA from 1 species